rnacentral:lncRNA from 1 species
UAACCUUACCCAUUAAAAACCAAAUCUUAGCCAUGUAGUUUCCAAAUCAAAACAAAGGUCCAAAGAAAUCGAAACAAAAACGAAACAACAAAACAACAGAAAUCUCAUGUAAUAAUCAUGGGGGUUAUGGCAUUUGAGGCGAUGUGAACAAGAUGGCAAUAUCGAAUCAUGCAAAGGAGAAAUGUUAAAUACCAAAUCGGAGCUAGUCCGACGUUUCAACUCUGGCAAGGUGAGGUAAAUGAUCCUUAGGUCUUUCAAGGUUCUUUCUUCCUCUCGAACUUUCCGUCUUCUUCGCUUCCUCUUUAACGAUUUGGGUUCGUUUCGGUUUUGACAGGGGGCUUAGCUCGAGCUUGUUGAGCUUCGGUG